rfam:Lucilia cuprina strain LS Scaffold285, whole genome shotgun sequence.
ACCCCAUCUCAUAAGCCGACAAGGAGUAGUAUAUAUAACCAGCUCUCUAAGUGACUAUAGAUGGGAAAAUGAAAACUACUCCGAUGUGUGUAUGUUUUGAGAUAAAUUUCCAUUUCGUAACAAAGAUUAUUUCAGAGAACA